rnacentral:tRNA from 1 species
CAGAAAGUAGUUUAGAUUAGAAUGCCAGUUUUGGGUAUUGGCGGUGAAGUUCAGUGCUUUCUUUCUGA